CAUCCACCAAUGGCAUUUUCCGGCGAGUUAACGUCACACCAGGAAGUGAACGUUCUCGUCUUGUGUGAACGUGUGAAGUCUUCACGGAGAAACUUUCAGAAGCGAUGUCCCAACAAGAAUCUGCCAGUAGGCUACCACAUUACACCUCAGCAGGCACACCAUAGAAGGACCACUCCUGGAUAAGGAUUUGAGCCACUGUCACGACUGCCAUCUACACUAUAUUACACACGGCAGCAGAUGUGGGAGGUGGUGAUCAACGUGACUCGUGAGCAGGUGGAGGACUUCCACGGCCCCGCGGACUACUGCUUCCUGUGUGUGGCCUGGAGCCACCUGAGGACCUCCAAGAGCUGGCAAGGACACGGUCCGCAUCGCCCAACAUGGACAAACCAGAUCUGCUGCAUCAUCAGCUGCUGUGACGGGCCUUCCAUGGUGUUGCUGUGAUUAUUGCAAGGACAAACAAAAACUGUUUUGUUUGGUUUAUACAAACCAAAACAAUAUGUAAAUAAACUACACAAUUUGUACUGCUAAAUCCUGCAAUUGUAAGUAGUUAUUAAGUAAUGGCUGUGUGCAUUUGUAUUAGUAAAAGCAGCAUAUAAUAAAAAUACAUUACACAUACGUAAAGCCUGUUCUGGCCUUUUCUGUUCAGCAUUUAUGAGAAGUCAAAUGGU